CCCCCCGAGCAGUGACCACCAAUGUGCUUUUUUUUUAUCUCUUAAAUGCAAAAUGUUGUCUAUGACUUUCAAUAAAUGAGAACUAAACACCAACUGUCCAUGUGCUAAGUGGCAGCUUCUAGUCAACACACAGCUUUGUGUGACUCCUCAUACCAGAUAUAGAAAGUGAGGGGGGCAGAUAGAGAAUUCAGGAACCAGUCACACCUAGGAGCCAUUCUUCAAUGUGUUUUCCAUUAGACUGCAGUAGAAGAGUAUUGCCUGAAUGUUGAUCCACCACUAGUAUUCGACUGCAGUAGGAGAGUAUGGCCUGAAUGUUGAUCCACCACUAGUAUUCGACUGCAGUAGGAGAGUAUGGCCUGAGCGUUGGUCCACCACUAGUAGUAGACUCCCAUAGAAGAGUAUGGCCUGAGCGUUGGUCCACCACUAGUAGUAGACUCCAGUAUAAGAGUAUGGCCUGAGCGUUGGUCCACCACUAGUAGUAGACUCCCAUAGAAGAGUAUGGCCUGAGCGUUGGUCCACCACUAGUAGUAGACUCCAGUAUAAGAGUAUGGCCUGAGCGUUGGUCCACCACUAGUAGUAGACUCCAGUCAGUAUAAGAGUAUGGCCUGAGCGUUGAUCCACCACUAGUAUUAGACUCCUGUAGAAGAGUAUGGCCUGAGCGUUGGUCCACCACUAGUAGUAGACUCCAGUAGAAGAGUAUGGCCUGAGCGUUGGUCCACCACUAGUAGUAGACUCCCGUAGAAGAGUAUGGCCUGAGCGUUGGUCCACCACUAGUAUUAGACUCCUGUAGAAGAGUAUGGCCUGAGCGUUGGUCCACCACUAGUAGUAGACUCCCGUAGAAGAGUAUGGCCUGAGCAUUGGUCCACCACUAGUAGUAGACUCCCGUAGAAGAGUAUGGCCUGAGCGUUGGUCCACCACUAGUAGUAGACUCCAGUAUAAGAGUAUGGCCUGAGCGUUGGUCCACCACUAGUAGUAGACUCCCGUAGAAGAGUAUGGCCUGAGCAUUGAUCCACCACUAGUAGUAGACUCCCGUAGAAGAGUAUGGCCUGAGCGUUGGUCCACCACUAGUAGUAGACUCCAGUAGAAGAGUAUGGCCUGAGCGUUGAUCCACCACUAGUAGUAGACUCCCGUAGAAGAGUAUGGCCUGAGCGUUGGUCCACCACUAGUAGUAGACUCCAGUAUAAGAGUAUGGCCUGAGCGUUGGUCCACCACUAGUAGUAGACUCCAGUCAGUAUAAGAGUAUGGCCUGAGCGUUGAUCCACCACUAGUAUUAGACUCCUGUAGAAGAGUAUGGCCUGAGCGUUGGUCCACCACUAGUAGUAGACUCCAGUAGAAGAGUAUGGCCUGAGCGUUGGUCCACCACUAGUAGUAGACUCCCGUAGAAGAGUAUGGCCUGAGCGUUGGUCCACCACUAGUAUUAGACUCCUGUAGAAGAGUAUGGCCUGAGCGUUGGUCCACCACUAGUAGUAGACUCCAGUAGAAGAGUAUGGCCUGAGCGUUGGUCCACCACUAGUAGUAGACUCCCGUAGAAGAGUAUGGCCUGAGCGUUGGUCCACCACUAGUAGUAGACUCCAGUAUAAGAGUAUGGCCUGAGCGUUGAUCCACCACUAGUAGUAGACUCCAGUAGAAGAGUAUGGCCUGAGCGUUGGUCCACCACUAGUAGUAGACUCCCGUAGAAGAGUAUGGCCUGAGCAUUGAUCCACCACUAGUAGUAGACUCCCGUAGAAGAGUAUGGCCUGAGCGUUGGUCCACCACUAGUAGUAGACUCCAGUAGAAGAGUAUGGCCUGAGCGUUGAUCCACCACUAGUAGUAGACUCCCGUAGAAGAGUAUGGCCUGAGCGUUGGUCCACCGCUAGUAUUAGACUCCAGUAGAAGAGCAUGGCCUGAGUGUUGGUCCACCACUGGUAAUAGGCGAUGAAGGGCUAUUACAUUACUGUAGAAUCCUUUGUAGGACUAAAAGUGGUAGUGCCAUUCAGACAACACACAAGAUCCCAACAUUGUGUGAAAUAUUCUGAAUGGUAGAUCUCCAUCUUCUGCCAUAUAGGUGAAUGUUCUCAUAGGAGGAUCAGCCAAGCACACCUGUCCUCUCGCCUUCCCUCUGUAGAGUAAUUGUACCCAAUACUGUCUGUUCAGGACUGGGCUUCUCCCUCUACAUAAAAACGAUAUAAAUGGCAUUGUUUUUCAGACGGUAACCUUUACAUUUCAAUAGUCCUAUAUCUAAAACUCAGAUGUUGGAAAAUAAUGGCAGAAGAUACAUUGGUCCUGGUAUAUGUGACCUCUUCUAUAUCUGCUGCUAUGUCCACCUCGCCGGCGUCGUGCUAUGUCCACCUUACAAAGGUCGUGCCAUGUCCACCUCGCCGGCGUCGUGCCAUGUCCACCUCGCCGGCGUCGUGCUAUGUCCACCUUACAAAGGUCGUGCCAUGUCCACCUCGCCGGCGUCGUGCCAUGUCCACCUCGCCGGCGUCGUGCUAUGUCCACCUUACAAAGGUCGUGCCAUGUCCACCUCGCCGGCGUCGUGCCAUGUCCACCUCGCCGGCGUCGUGCUAUGUCCACCUUACAAAGGUCGUGCUAUGUCCACCUCGCAGGCGUUGUGCUAUGUCCACCUUACAGAGGUUGUGCUAGGUCCACCUCGCAGGCGUCCUGUUGGGUCCACCGCCCAGGCACCACGUCCACCAUAUACAUUUUAUGUUGUCUACUCUGUCUAGUUUUGUAUUCUGGUGUUACAGUUCCCUUGACUUAGUCAGUUUCUCCUCUUUCUGACUUGGUGACGGUCUCUUGUACUUUCAGUCAUGGUAUAAAAGCUCCACAUUCUCAGGAACUCAAAUCGGGUGUGUACUGUGGUGGCAUUAAGACCUCCAUUGUAAGAAUUCAUUGAAGGUGAGGAUCGACUUGUAUCGGGUGGGCUGGUGAGGAUGGCCUUGGCCUGCGUCAUGUUGUAUCAGGUGGGCUGGUGAGGAUGGUCUUUGCCUAUAUCAGGUGGGUUGGUGAGGAUGGUGUUGGCCUGUGUCAUGUGUUAUCAGGUGGGUUGGUGAGGACGGCCUUGGCCUGUGUCAUGUUGUAUCAGGCAGGUUGGUGAGGAUGGCCUUGGCCUGUUUUGUGUUGAAUCAGGUGAGUUGGUACGGAUGGACUUGGCCUGUGUCAUGUUGUAUCGGGUAGGUUGGUGCGGAUUGAAUUGGCCUGUGUCAUGUUGUAUCAGGCAGGUUGGUGAGGAUGGUCUUGGCCUAUAUCAUGUGGGUUGGUGCGAAUGGACUUGGCCUGUGUCAUGUUGUAUCGGGUGGGUUGGUGAGGAUGGACUUGCAUGUUUUGUGUUGAAUCAGGCAUGUUGGUGAGAGUGGAGUUGACCUGUGUCAUGUUGUAUCAGGCGGGUUGGUGAGGAUGGACUUGGCCGUGUGUCAUGUUGUAUUAGGAGGGUUGGUGAGGGUGGACUUGGCCUGUGUCAUGUUGUAUCAGGCGGGUUGGUGAGGAUGGACUUGGCCUGUGUCAUGUUGUAUUAGGAGGGUUGGUAAGGAUGGACUUGGCCUGUGUCAUGUUGUAUCAGGCGGGUUGGUGAGGGUGGACUUGGCCCGUGUCAUGUUGUAUCAGGCGGGUUGGUGAGGAUGGACUUGGCCUGUGUCAUGUUGUAUUAGAAGGGUUGGUGAGGAUGGACUUGGCCCGUGUCAUGUUGUAUCAGGCGGGUUGGUGAGGAUGGACUUGACUGUGGCAUGUUAUAUCGGACCAUGAUGUGCUCUGUAUCAUUUUCGCAGAGCAGGUUCUACCCUAAAAUGUGGUCUUUGCCGAAUAGUACAGAAGAGAAGAAUCCUGAGAAUGUUGGAGCAAAGUAGAGGGGCUUUCUUGUGGUGCCUUAUGUGGUUGUGGGAUAUUUUGGAUGGAGGGGUUUAUAAUGUGACAACCUUCAGAAUGAAGAGCUCCUGAGGAAGGGAGAUAGAGAUGGCCGCCACGUGGAGUUGAGGAGAAAUCCGGAGUGUUGUCCUGGAGGAUGGAACACAUUGUAUUUUGUAUGGACACUUUACAUGAUAGGAAAACAUUCAGUGACUUGUAUAUAAGAGACUUUAUACCUGAAGAGCUGGCGGGUUCCGAUCCCACCGGAGAAGUUCCCCCAACGAGCUUCUGCCCACUUCUCAGCAAGAUCAGCGGGACGUUGGAUGGACCCAACAGUGUGAAAUAGAAGCUACUGUCAAUGUAUACCUCAACACACGUAUAUACCUCAAAAUAUAACUAUAUACCUCAGUAUACAAAUCCUGCGCCAUAUACCUCGAGAGAUACAGUGACAAGAAAAAGUAUGUGAACCCCCGUGGAAUGAAUUGUUUUUCUGGGUGUGCUCAAUAAAGACACAAGAAAUUUGAAUUGUGUGUCAUGAGCUUAAAGCACAUUGGAGUUGUCUAUUGUGAUAUAGGUGAGGGUCAGAUCACAUUUUAUGGCAAAUUACUGCAGAAAACCUGGAGAUUCCAAGGGAUUCACAUACUUUUUCUUGCCACUGUAUAUAGUGUAAAGUACACUUCAACACACAAACAUAUAAAUCUUGUGGUGCCAUAUUCCUCACCCUACAAAGUGCAGUGAGAGACAUCGGAUGGGCUAAGAUUUGUGAACACCCGACCAUCACACCCAUGUCAGCUUGUUGGACAUCCCAUUCCAAAGCCAUGCCAUUAAUAUGGAGUUGCCCCCCCCCCCCCCUUUGCCACU